GACGAACGCUGGCGGCGUGCUUAACACAUGCAAGUCGAACGGAAAGGCCCUGCUUUUGUGGGGUGCUCGAGUGGCGAACGGGUGAGUAACACGUGAGUAACCUGCCCUUGACUUUGGGAUAACUUCAGGAAACUGGGGCUAAUACCGGAUAGGAGCUCCUGCUGCAUGGUGGGGGUUGGAAAGUUUCGGCGGUUGGGGAUGGACUCGCGGCUUAUCAGCUUGUUGGUGGGGUAGUGGCUUACCAAGGCUUUGACGGGUAGCCGGCCUGAGAGGGUGACCGGCCACAUUGGGACUGAGAUACGGCCCAGACUCCUACGGGAGGCAGCAGUGGGGAAUAUUGCACAAUGGGCGGAAGCCUGAUGCAGCAACGCCGCGUGCGGGAUGACGGCCUUCGGGUUGUAAACCGCUUUCGCCUGUGACGAAGCGUGAGUGACGGUAAUGGGUCAAGAAGCACCGGCUAACUACGUG
rnacentral:rRNA from 1 species